rnacentral:tRNA from 1 species
GUUGCAUUAUGAUUUUGAUGAGCACGUCAUUCGUAAUGACGGGGUCAGGUGUUCGAGUCACCUAAGCGGCACCA